rnacentral:rRNA from 1 species
UACAGAGGUGGCAAGCGUUGUUCGGAAUUACUGGGCGUAAAGGGCGCGUAGGCGGUCUUGUAAGUCUUGUGUGAAAUCCCUCGGCUUAACCGAGGAACUGCCUGUCAGACUGCAUUGCUUGAGUCCGGGAGAGGUGAGUGGAAUUCCCAGUGUAGCGGUGAAAUGCGUAGAUAUUGGGAGGAACACCAGUGGCGAAGGCGGCUCACUGGACCGGAACUGACGCUGAGGCGCGAAAGCGUGGGGAGCAAACAGG